AGGAGCACAGGUGAGGGAGAAAACUCCAACUCAAGUGAAUGGCAGAGUCACUGACAGCAUAAUACAGAAAAAUCUGUCAGAAGCUCUUCAUAGUGGUGUGACAAACCAAUCACCAAUGAGCUCUGUGUCCUGGGAUACAGCACCAGUCAGCACCAGCUCCGCCCACUAAGCAUCAUAAUGGACUGUCCUCCAAUGGAGACGCAGCAGACUUUGAGGAGAUAAUCAAGCUGUCCAAUCACAGUGGGAACAGUGGAAUCAUGGCCUUCGAGAGGUGCUGUGAGAGAUGAGAUAUCAGAGUCUUCUGGACAUAAUGAGAAGAAGAGAAGCCUUGCUCUACCACUGCUUCCACCCUGACGUGUGCCAAACCAACAAAAACAGACUGCUUUAACUUUAGAAACACUGCCGAGCCGGAUGCGCUCUGGAGAAAGUGCCAGAAGACGACCUUAAAGAGACACUUAUAUACAACGUUUGCAAAAAGUCUCCGUCUAUUUCAGUGUGUGUGUCAUGGUGCAGCAUUUGUUGAGUUUCUUUAACAAGUCACCUGGGGCCUCAUGUAUCAAUGCUGCGUACGCACAAAAACUUUGCGUACGCCAGAUUUCACGCUCAG